UACGUAGGGGGCUAGCGUUGUCCGGAAUCAUUGGGCGUAAAGCGCGUGUAGGCGGUUCGGUAAGUCCGCUGUGAAAGUCGAGGGCUCAACCCCUCGAAAGCCGGUGGAUACUGUCGGGCUAGAGUGCGGAAGAGGCGAGUGGAAUUCCUGGUGUAGCGGUGAAAUGCGCAGAUAUCAGGAGGAACACCAAUUGCGAAGGCAGCUCGCUGGGACGUUACUGACGCUGAGACGCGAAAGCGUGGGGAGCAAACAGG
rnacentral:rRNA from 1 species